rnacentral:lncRNA from 1 species
GAGAAGCCGCUACUUUGGGUAAAAUCCAUUGUAGAGCCAACUGUUGCAUAUUUAGGGUUCUACAAAGCCUAAUUGACAUCAAUUGUCAAAGUUAUCAGCCUAAUUAACACCCCAAAAUCACUUUGUCAACGACGUCAUGGUUUGCUGGUGUUCGUGUAUGGUAGAGAGAGAAGGGUGGUGUUGAUGGAGUUGAAGAGAGAGAGAAUGAGUGGGCUAAUUGAUUUGGGUUGUUUCAGAAAGAUUUAAUUAGAUUUCAAUUAGAGGCUAUUUCUAUAUCAAAGUUUAAUUAAUUAAUUAAUUAAAAACCUAAUUACCACAUGAUAUAUGAAAUUAUAAUUAAUACAUUUUGUUUAUGAAUUGUAGUUUUUAUAUGUAGGGGUUUGAGUAAUUUUCUCUCUCUC